rnacentral:misc_RNA from 1 species
GGAAGUAAAAGUCGUAACGAGGUUUCCGUAGGUGAACCUGCGGAAGGAUCAUUCAUAAUAAAGUGUUUUAUGGCACUUUUUAAAAAUCCAUAUCCACCUUGUGUGCAAUGUUAGAUCUCGUCAAUCUUGGCGAGAUUUUUAUACAUCAACUCAUUUUUUAACUAAUUUGUCUGAAAAAUAUUAUGAAUACUUAAUUCAAAAUACAACUUUCAACAACGGAUCUCUUGGCUCUC